rnacentral:rRNA from 1 species
AUUGAACGCUGGCGGCAUGCUUUACACAUGCAAGUCGAACGGUAACAGGCCUUCGGGUGCUGACGAGUGGCGAACGGGUGAGUAAUGCAUCGGAACGUACCCAGAGGUGGGGGAUAACGCAGCGAAAGCUGUGCUAAUACUGCAUGUGAUCUGAGGAUGAAAGCGGGGGACCGAGCAGCAAUGUUUGGCCUCGCGCCUUUGGAGCGGCCGAUGUCGGAUUAGCUAGUUGGUGGGGUAAAGGCCUACCAAGGCGACGAUCCGUAGCUGGUCUGAGAGGACGACAGGCCACACUGGGACUGAGACACGGCCAAGACUCCUACGGGAGGCCGCAGUGGGGAAUUUUGGACAAUGGGCGCGAGCAUGAUCCAGCAAUGCCGCGUGCGGGAAGAAGGCCUUCGGGUUGUAAACCGCUUUUGGCAGGAACGAAACGGUGUCCGCUAAUACCGGGCGCUAAUGACGGUACCUGCAGAAUAAGCACCGGCUAACUACGUG